rnacentral:misc_RNA from 1 species
GAUGAAGAACGCAGCGAAAUGCGAUACGUAAUGUGAAUUGCAAAUUCAGUGAAUCAUCGAGUCUUUGAACGCACAUUGCGCCCCCUGGUAUUCCGGGGGGCAUGCCUGUCCGAGCGUCAUUGCUGCCCUCAAGCACGGCUUGUGUGUUGGGCCCCGUCCUCCGAUCCCGGGGGACGGGCCCGAAAGGCAGCGGCGGCACCGCGUCCGGUCCUCGAGCGUAUGGGGCUUUGUCACCCGCUCUGUAGGCCCGGCCGGCGCUUGCCGAUCAACCCAAAUUUUUAUCCAGGUUGGCCUCGGAUCAGGUAGGGAUACCCGCUGAACUUAAGCAUAUCAAUAAGCGGAGGA